rnacentral:rRNA from 1 species
GAGUUUGAUCAUGGCUCAGAGCGAACGCUGGCGGCAUGCUUAACACAUGCAAGUCGCACGGUCAGCAAUGGCAGUGGCGGACGGGUGAGUAACGCGUAGGUAUCUAUCCACGGAUGGGGGACAACGUCGGGAAACUGACGCUAAUACCGCAUGAUGCCUGAGGGCCAAAGACGCAAGUCGUCUGUGGAGGAGCCUGCGUACGAUUAGCUAGUUGGUGGGGUAAAGGCCUACCAAGGCGACGAUCGUUAGCUGGUCUGAGAGGAUGAUCAGCCACAUUGGGACUGAGACACGGCCCAAACUCCUACGGGAGGCAGCAGUGGGGAAUAUUGGACAAUGGGCGCAAGCCUGAUCCAGCAAUGCCGCGUGUGUGAAGAAGGUCUUCGGAUUGUAAAGCACUUUCGGCGGGGACGAUGAUGACGGUACCCGCAGAAGAAGCCCCGGCUAACUUCGUGCCAGCAGCCGCGGUAAUACG